UGUACGACGGCUUCAUUACAAUGUAUCACUGUGGUGGACUUUCGGUGGAGGAACCAAACUCAUCAUCACCGGUCCCGCGGUGAAGCCCUCCGUGUCUCUGCUCCCUCCCUCCUCUCUGCAGCUGUCUGAGGGAUCGGCCUCGCUGCUCUGCCUGCUGUCUGCCUACUCUCCACAGGGGGCGCUGGUGAGCUGGACAGUGGACGGCUCCCAGGUGAAGGACGGGGUUCUGACCAGCGCAGAAGAACAGAAGAAGGACGGUUACACACGCAGCAGCACCCUGACCCUCAGCAAAGCACUCUGGGAAAAGGGGGAGGAGUUUGUCUGUACGGUCUCCCAUGCCGGCGUCAAUCAUCCGGUCACGUUCAGAAAGAGCCAGUGUGAAGCCUAACAGCUCCAAGAUACAAUUUAACACUGAGCUGCUUACACAUCCAUCUACAAUAGAGUUUCAGUUCUACACAAUGCUGACAUUUCUGUCUUUACUCUCUUCACUGUCCUGUUGCUCUUCCUGUAGUUUUGCUCUGCUGAAAUAAAGCUUCAUUUUGGA